AAAUGAAUAGACGGGGGCCCGCACAAGCGGAGGAACAUGUGGUUUAAUUCGAUGAUACGCGAGGAACCUUACCCGGGCUUGAAAUGCGGUGGACCGGCGGAGAGAUCCGCCCUCCCUUCGGGGCCACCGUGUAGGUGCUGCAUGGUUGUCGUCAGCUCGUGCCGUGAGGUGUCGGCUUAAGUGCCAUAACGAGCGCAACCCUCAUCAUUAGUUACUAACAGGUAAAGCUGAGGACUCUAGUGAGACUGCCAUCGUAAGAUGCGAGGAAGGUGGGGAUGACGUCAAAUCAGCACGGCCCUUACGUCCGGGGCGACACACGUGUUACAAUGGGUGGUACAAAGGGCAGCUACCUGGCGACAGGAUGCCAAUCCCCAAAACCACUCUCAGUUCGGAUCGGAGUCUGCAACUCGACUCCGUGAAGCUGGAUUCGCUAGUAAUCGCGCAUCAGCCACGGCGCGGUGAAUACGUUCCCGGGCCUUGUACACACCGCCCGU
rnacentral:rRNA from 1 species